CAGUCGCCGCGUUAAUACGUAGGGUGCAAGCGUUAAUCGGAAUUACUGGGCGUAAAGCGUGCGCAGGCGGUUAUAUAAGACAGAUGUGAAAUCCCCGGGCUCAACCUGGGAACUGCAUUUGUGACUGUAUAGCUAGAGUACGGCAGAGGGGGAUGGAAUUCCGCGUGUAGCAGUGAAAUGCGUAGAUAUGCGGAGGAACACCGAUGGCGAAGGCAAUCCCCUGGGCCUGUACUGACGCUCAUGCACGAAAGCGUGGGGAGCAAACAGGAUUAGAUACCCGCGUAGUCCCUGUCUCUUAUAU
rnacentral:rRNA from 1 species